rnacentral:rRNA from 1 species
AACGAACGCUGGCGGCAGGCCUAACACAUGCAAGUCGAGUGCCCCGCAAGGGGAGCGGCGGACGGGUGAGUAACGCGUGGGAACGUGCCUCUUGCUACGGAAUAGCCUCGGGAAACUGGGAGUAAUACCGUAUGUGCCCUACGGGGGAAAGAUUUAUCGGCAAGAGAUCGGCCCGCGUUGGAUUAGGUAGUUGGUGGGGUAAUGGCCUACCAAGCCGACGAUCCAUAGCUGGUUUGAGAGGAUGAUCAGCCACACUGGGACUGAGACACGGCCCAGACUCCUACGGGAGGCAGCAGUGGGAAUCUUAGACAAUGGGCGCAAGCCUGAUCUAGCCAUGCCGCGUGAGCGAUGAAGGCCGUUAGGGUUAGUAAAGCUCUUUCAGUGGGGAAGAUAAUGACUGUACCCACAGAAGAAGCCCCGGCUAACUCCGUG